UAAAAUAGAUUGAUUGGUAGUCUAGCUAUUGAGAAAUUAGUAGUUAUUUAAAGAGAUUGAAUUGCUGGAAGGUCCUAAAGCUUUCUAUACCACAACGUAGGGAUGACCAAACCCAAGCGUGAAGGUGGCGAUAAGCAGAAAAAAAUAGAAAGAUUGACUAUGGUGAAAGCCUAAGGUAAGCGGUGUUUAAUGGAUGACCAGCAGCGAAGCCUAGCAAUAGGAACGUUCAACGACUAUUCCAUUUUGGAAGUACACUACAAGCGAUAGGUAGUGGAAGCAGUCUCGCCUGAUUCGUUUUAACUAAAGGAGAAGAGAUAGUCUGCACUUAUAUGAAAGUAUAAG
rnacentral:ncRNA from 1 species